rnacentral:lncRNA from 1 species
AUGCAUACAUGUGCUGGAGCAGUCCACAUCAAGCUUGGCUCCUCCACCUUCUGUCGCUCGAUGGCUCCUUUGCUGACGCAGAAAACGGAGACGUCUCUCAGCGUUUCAGCCUCUCCUUCGCUUGGAGUGAGUUUCGUGUCAACGCUCCCGGUUGUCCUCACCAUCCUUCUGCUGCUUCUCUGCUUCCCUUUUAGAAGGAAAAAAAGACAAUUGUCUCCACGAGUCCUUCAGAGGGAGAGGAAUUCAUCCCAGCUUAUUCACAUAGCCAAAUUGGAAGAGGAACCGAGUCCGGAGAGAAAGCCUUUGGAAGAUGAAAACACUCACAAAGGUAAGACGUCCAUACAUUGGAAGUGCUUUGGAUGCUUACAGUUUGUCGUAUGUAAGCGAAAAGUGCGACAAAAUUGUCAUUGAACAACAGUAACCUUUCAAUCUUUCACUUUUCCCAACUUCUUUUACAAUGAAGGAAUGGAUUUAAAUUGCAGGAAAAGAGAUUCCACCUAAAUAUUAGGGAGAACUUUUUUUCCCCAAAUAAUUUUUAUUAAACACUAGCUUGGGUAUCCGGCGAUGCGCGGGUUAUUUGAAAAAGUCAUUAUUUGUCUUUGAUUGUUAGGUAUUCUCAGUUUGGAGUGGGUGAAUUACAAUUCCCAGAAUCCUGGGUCAAUCCUCCCCAAACCCUGCCAGUAUUCAAAGUUGGCCAUUGUGGGUCUGUGUACCAAGUGUAGUCCAGAUCUGUCAUUGGCUGGUCAUCGCCCGGCUGCAGUGCUCGCUGGAUGAGGGUGAACUACUACAACUCCCAGAUUCCCAGGGCAAUUGUCCCGAAACAUCUGUCAGUAUCCACAGCAGGCAAUGUUGAGUCUGUGUGCCAAGUUUGGUCCAGAUCCAUGGUUGGCUGGGUUCAAUGCUCUUUGGAUGCAGGUGAACUACAACUCUCAAAAUCAAGGCCCAUUCCCACAAACCCCUGCAGUAUGUUCAAUUGGUCAUGAGACUUCUCUGUGCAAAGUUUGGUCCCGGUCCAUUGUCGGUGGGGGUCACUGUUUCUCUGGAUGCAGGUGAACUAUAACUCCCUUUCCCCCAAACUUGUCCAAUAUGUUCUGUUGGUCAUGGGGGCUCUGUGUGCCAAGUUUGGUCCUGGUCCAUCAUCGGUGGGGUUCGGAGUGCUCAUUCAUUGUAGGUGAACUAUAAAUCCCAGCACCUACUCCUCCCAAAUGUCCUGGCCAAUUCCCCUCCAAACUCACCAGUAUUCAAAUCUGGGCAUAUUGGGUAUGUAUGGCAAGUUUGGUCCAGAGCCAUCAUUGUUUGGGUUCUGGGUGUAGGUGAACUACAACUCCUCUAUAUUCCCCAGUAGGAGUCACAGUGCUCUGAUUUGAUGCAGGAUGAACUACAACUUCCACCAUGUGGAGUCAGUCCUCCAAACUCCUCCAGAAAAUGUAGUUGCUGCUCAUUUGUGCUGUGUUUGUUCUGCAGACAGAUUUGAAAGGGAAGGGUAGUGGGCGGGGUCAUGCAAAUUUCACAGCAAUGGAGAACCCUGGGAUGCCUGCCUGUGAUGGAGGAAAAAGCAAAAUCUAGGAGGAAAGGGUCCCCAAAUGAAAGCAUUCCUUGGGUGGUGGACCAUAGUGUUUGGGGAGGACAUUGGCAGGGGUUGGGCUACAUGUUCAUGGCACUCGCUGUAACUGCAAUGUCAUUGGAAAAGAGUGACUUGGUGGCUCCUCAGCACUGGGAACUAUAGCCUGUUUGUGGAGGCCAGAGGCUGUCUGGGUGAGCAGACACCUGUGCCACAUACACACACAUGGGUUUUCACUUUUAUUAUGGAUAUAGAUAGAUAUAGAUAUAGAAGAUAUAGAUAUAGAUAUAUAGAUAUAGAUAAUAGAUAUAGAUAUAGACUAGCUUGGGUAUCCGGCAUUGCCCUGGUAAUUUGAAAAAGUCACAAAGUUUUAAUUGUACAAAAUGCAUAAGAUUGUGGGUUAACUACAACUCACAUCAUGCUAGGUUAACUCUGAGAAACUCCAUCAGUACUUAAAGUUUGCUAUGUUAGGCACCUUGUACAUGCAAUGAGUAGGCCAACCAGGGAAAUCUGCUGGACCAUUUGGGUUGAAAUUGUAGGUCCUUAUCCUUAUGUCCUUAUCCACAGGACAUACAUAUCCUGGCAACGGAGUCCGUGGAUUUGCACUAAUUGAGCUUUCACUUGGUCAUCAGAAACAGUCUUGUUCAUAUAAAGCCCAUUGACACAGCUUCCAGUUUAAAAAAAACUGUCUUCUCUUUGCUCCUGUUCCAUGGCUUCUUUGGCCGGUCUUGGAUUAGAUCAGUGGUUCUUAAUCUGGGGUCCCCAGAUGUUUUUGACCUACAACUCCCAGAAAUCCCAGCCUGUUUACCAGCUGUUAGGAUUUCUGGGAGUUGAAGACCAAAAACAUCUGGGGACCCACAGGUUGAGAACCACUGGAUUACAUGAACCAGUGGCAGACACCUCUGUUUCCACAGUUUCCACCUGCAAUCCAGAUCAAAUUCCCCCGUCUUGUCCUGUCCCAUCUAGGGCCGGCCCAAGGUAAUUUUCAAGUGUAGGCGAACAGAAUUUUGGCACCCCCCCCCCCAAACCAAUCACUGAAAAAUAAAAGUGUUGGAUAAGCAAAAAUGUUGGAUAAUAAGGAGGGAUUAAGGAGAAGCCUAAAUAAAGAACAACACUCUGAAAACAGGGGAAAUUCAGACAGGAAACGAUCAGGGCCAGCUAACAUCUCCCAACCAAGGAUGCCCCCAGGGAGGAAGCAGCCAGGCUUUUAAUCUGCAAGGCCAUUAAAUGCUAAUCAAGCUGGCCAAUUGCAACAUUCACACUAGCCUCAAACAGACAAGAGCUCUUUCUCCCACCCUGGACUUUCCACAGAUAUAUAAACCCCACUUACCUAGCUUCCAACAGACCUCAAAACCUCUGAGGAUGCCUGCCAUAGAUGUGGGUGAAACGUCAGGAGAGAAUGCUUCUGGAACAUGGCCAGACAGCCCAGAGACCUGGCCUCAAGGAAGGCGUAGCGACUGGGCUUGAUCGAUCCAUGAAAAAUUUGAUUCUAAACUCGUUUCAAAACUAGAGGGGGCAGUUUUUCGUUUUUGUUGCUAAUAACGAAUUUGGCCCCCAAAAUUUUUCGAAAUUAACGAAAAUUCGUUAUUUUCGAAAUUAAUUCGUUAAUGGCGGACGCGCAUGCGCGGUGGCCCAAAAACAGCCCGAAGGGGGGGGACUUAGGGGGCUCUCCCGCCCUCAUUUUUUGAGUGAUCUUCUUCAAACUUGGUACAGAGGUAGAACACAUUUAACACUGAUAGCUCACCAAAAUGUGGAACGUUUCCCUUAUCCUCUGAUUUUUGGCAAAUUUUCAUAGCUUUUAUAAUAAACCAUUUUUUAAUAAUUGCAGAAUUCUGUUCCUGGUUUGAAAGUCUUAUUUCCUGUUAAAUUGGGUUGUCUUUACUGUGAAAGUCAUUGUUCUACUUCAGAAACUUUGUUUUUGUGGCUGAAACUUUGUUAAAUUGGUGUGUGUGUGAUAUAUAUUGUGUAUAUAUAUAUAUAGUCCCUGCUUGUGUGUGUGUGUGUGUGUGUGUGUGUGUGUGUGUGUGUGUGUGUGUGUAGGUAAAGGUAAAGGUAUCCCUUGACGUUAAGUUCAGUCAUGUCUGACUCUGGGGGUUGGUGCUCAUCUCCAUUUCUAAGCCCAAGAGCCAGUGUUGUCCAUAGACACCUCCAAGGUCAUGUGGCCGGCAUGACUACAUGGAGUGCCAUUAC